GAUGAACGCUGGCGGCGUGCCUAAUACAUGCAAGUCGAGCGAACGGACGAGAAGCUUGCUUCUCUGAUGUUAGCGGCGGACGGGUGAGUAACACGUGGAUAACCUACCUAUAAGACUGGGAUAACUUCGGGAAACCGGAGCUAAUACCGGAUAAUAUUUUGAACCGCAUGGUUCAAAAGUGAAAGACGGUCUUGCUGUCACUUAUAGAUGGAUCCGCGCUGCAUUAGCUAGUUGGUAAGGUAACGGCUUACCAAGGCAACGACGCAUAGCCGACCUGAGAGGGUGAUCGGCCACACUGGAACUGAGACACGGUCCAGACUCCUACGGGAGGCAGCAGUAGGGAAUCUUCCGCAAUGGGCGAAAGCCUGACGGAGCAACGCCGCGUGAGUGAUGAAGGUCUUCGGAUCGUAAAACUCUGUUAUUAGGGAAGAACAUAUGUGUAAGUAACUGUGCACAUCUUGACGGUACCUAAUCAGAAAGCCACGGCUAACUACGUG
rnacentral:rRNA from 1 species